rnacentral:rRNA from 1 species
AGUGAACGCUGGCGGUAGGCCUAACACAUGCGAGUCGAACGGCAGCACAGUAAGAGCUUGCUCUUACGGGUGGCGAGUGGCGGACGGGUGAGGAAUACAUAGGAAUCUACUUUUUCGGGGGGGAUAACGUAGGGAAACUUACGCUAAUACCGCAUACGACCUACGGGUGAAAGCAGGGGAUCUUCGCACCUUGCGCGACUGAAUGAGCCGAUGUCGGAUUAGCUAGUUGGCGGGGUAAAGGCCCACCAAGGCGACGAUCCGUAGCUGGUCUGAGAGGAUGAUCAGCCACACUGGAACUGAGACACGGUCCAGACUCCUACGGGAGGCAGCAGUGGGGAAUAUUGGACAAUGGGCGCAAGCCUGAUCCAGCCAUACCGCGUGGGUGAAGAAGGCCUUCGGGUUGUAAAGCCCUUUUGUUGGGAAAGAAAAGCAGCAGGUUAAUACCCCGCUGUUCUGACGGUACCCAAAGAAUAAGCACCGGCUAACUUCGUG